CGAGCCGCCCCCUCGUCUCUACCGCCGCUCGCCCACGCAUCGCCCGCGGCGGCCCCAUGUCCACCGCACCGGCGGCGUCCGCCGCCGCGAAGGCGACCAUCUCCGUCG
rnacentral:sRNA from 1 species